ACCGGUUUCGUAUUACAUUUCGAUUCAAUUUUUCUAAUAUAAAUAUCUCGGCGAGUAUUUACCCCCCUUUGAAAUAAAUGCCACCAUUGAAAUCCUCACAAUAUAACCUUUCGAACGGGGGGUCAAGUGCCGUCAAAACAUUACACAAACCAAAACAAUCAUAUAUUUAUACUCACAGCUUCGCCAAACAUUCAAACGGGAAAAAGAGAAAAAGUUGAAUAUAUUCUAAAAUUUGGCGUCCUUUUCUGAAAGGAUAUAUGUGCAAAAUACUCUUUGUAUUCAAGCGCUUUAGUGUAGAAAGUUUCGUGUGAAUACGGCGAGUAGAAAUAUUUAUUUUGAAUUUUUCAAGGUAUCGGGUUUUACUCGCACGCACUUGUAUUACGUAAUACUUGGCCAAUAAGGAGCUCCCUUUAGCCGGGAUGACGUCAAACUCACGCGUAUGGGUGCACUUUGACCUGUAGAAGCCAUUUCUGGCAUUUCUAGAGUCACGCGAUACAAACUACGCAUUGUUUUGACGGUUUUUCGUCGUAUUUCCGGUUUGGGAUUAACGCAAAUUCGGGCAGAAAUGCAAAAUUCGGCAAGAAAACUCACGUUUUAACGCUAGAAGCUUGAAAAUAACACUAUACGUGUUAUUUUUAACUGCUUCAUUGACCAAGAAUACAAGAAUGAGCAUACGUCUCAAGGGGCCGAAGUUAUGUUCGGCGAAAGGUAUGUCUAUGUUUAUAAUUUGUUAGUAAUAUUGCGUAAUUUGAUCAUAUUUAAGCCCGUUUGACUUUCAAAGCUUAUAAAUCGCUACAAUGUAGCCAGUCACUAAAACUGUCGUUAUAAAUUAGUAUAUAUUUUUAUACUGAAUCGAAUGGCGGUAUUUUCAUCGACAUAGCGUGUAAUGAACCGAAGAUAUAAACGAAACAUCCGUAGAACGUGCACGUUCUACGCG